rnacentral:rRNA from 1 species
GCAGCAGUGGGGAAUAUUGGACAAUGGGCGAAAGCCUGAUCCAGCAACGCCGCGUGAGGGAUGACGGCCUUCGGGUUGUAAACCUCUUUCAGCAGGGACGAAGCGAAAGUGACGGUACCUGCAAAAGAAGCACCGGCCAACUACGUGCCAGCAGCCGCGGUAAUACGUAGGGUGCGAGCGUUGUCCGGAAUUAUUGGGCGUAAAGGGCUCGUAGGCGGUUUGUCACGUCGGGAGUGAAAACUCGGGGCUCAACCCCGAGCUUGCUUCCGAUACGGGCUAACUAGAGGUAUGCAGGGGAGAACGGAAUUCCUGGUGUAGCGGUGAAAUGCGCAGAUAUCAGGAGGAACACCGGUGGCGAAGGCGGUUCUCUGGGCAUUACCUGACGCUGAGGAGCGAAAGUGUGGGGAGCGAACAGGAUUAGAUACCCUGGUAGUCCACACCGUAAACGUUGGGCGCUAGGUGUGGGACUCAUUCCACGAGUUCCGUGCCGCAGCUAACGCAUUAAGCGCCCCGCCUGGGGAGUACGGCCGCAAGGCUAAAACUCAAAGGAAUUGACGG